rnacentral:rRNA from 1 species
GACGAACGCUGGCGGCGUGCCUAAUACAUGCAAGUCGAACGCUUCUUUCCUCCCGAGUGCUUGCACUCAAUUGGAAAGAGGAGUGGCGGACGGGUGAGUAACACGUGGGUAACCUACCCAUCAGAGGGGGAUAACACUUGGAAACAGGUGCUAAUACCGCAUAACAGUUUAUGCCGCAUGGCAUAAGAGUGAAAGGCGCUUUCGGGUGUCGCUGAUGGAUGGACCCGCGGUGCAUUGGCUAGUUGGUGAGGUAACGGCUCACCAAGGCCACGAUGCAUAGCCGACCUGAGAGGGUGAUCGGCCACACUGGGACUGAGACACGGCCCAGACUCCUACGGGAGGCAGCAGUAGGGAAUCUUCGGCAAUGGACGAAAGUCUGACCGAGCAACGCCGCGUGAGUGAAGAAGGUUUUCGGAUCGUAAAACUCUGUUGUUAGAGAAGAACAAGGACGUUAGUAACUGAACGUCCCCUGACGGUAUCUAACCAGAAAGCCACGGCUAACUACGUG